rnacentral:rRNA from 1 species
GACGAACGCUGGCGGCGCGCCUAACACAUGCAAGUCGAACGGAGAUUACAGGCGGAAGUUUUCGGAUGGAAGCUUGUAAACUUAGUGGCGGACGGGUGAGUAACACGUGAGCAACCUGCCUAUCAGAGGGGGAUAACGAUUGGAAACGAUCGCUAAUACCGCAUGACAUAGCGGAAUCGCAUGGGUCUGUUAUCAAAGAUUUUAUCGCUGAUAGAUGGGCUCGCAUCCGAUUAGAUAGUUGGUGGGGUAACGGCCUACCAAGUCGACGAUCGGUAGCCGGACUGAGAGGUCGAACGGCCACAUUGGGACUGAGACACGGCCCAGACUCCUACGGGAGGCAGCAGUGGGGGAUAUUGCACAAUGGGGGAAACCCUGAUGCAGCGACGCCGCGUGAGGGAAGACGGUCCUCUGGAUUGUAAACCUCUGUCUUCGGGGACGAAACGAGACGGUACCCGAGGAGGAAGCCACGGCUAACUACGUGCCAGCAGCCGCAGUAA